UGCCCGGAAUAGGUCGGUCAGCUGUGUAAGCUGCAGUACCCGAAAUGGCGGGUUGAUAAUUUCAAUUUUAGUUAGUAAAGCCUUUUAGUUCACCAGUGAGAGAAAAAUACUCCUUGUUUUCUGGAGUAGGGAUUGAAGUACUUCGAUGGAACCUCACUAAAAUCAAUCCGCCUUUUGGGGAAAUAAUAUAAAGCGACAUGAGAAAUCAUAGACCCUCACCCACCUGAGAGGAACCUAUUCCGGCUACAUAGUCAGUCACCUGGGAGCAAGCGAAGCGUUCCAGCUUCAUUUUCUGUCUACAGCUGUGCUUACAGGAAGCAUGGUUUGGCACUAUCCUCGUGCUCAUUUUCUGGGAACCUUUUGGUUAUACAUUUGAGGAAUGGAUUGGUUUGGGAACACUCAGUUUGGUGAUUUGAGUAACUUUUGUGUUCUAUAUUUCGGACUUUUGGUAAUGCACUAUGUUUAUUAAUUAUUUUUUUCAGAUUUAGCGUACCUUUGUUUUUAUAUGACAUAUUUGUAUAUUAUUGUAUUUGGUUCCCAAACUUUGUAUCUACGGUAACUUCUUGUGCACAGGAAUAAGCCUAGAGAAAAUUAGGUUUUUAAUACUUUAUUAUUGCUUUGAUAUUGGUUUAUGUAAUUCGGGUAAAUUUAUUUUGUAAUAUUGCUUGCUUGUUUCCCAAAUAUUUUAUUGUUAUUCGCUUUAUUCCAUUUGUUCGGUUAAUUUAGGUCAUCGUCGGUAUUUAUCUCAACUUCAUUUCUAUAACUUUCAUUCAUUGUAUAUUUAACUUUGCUUAGUUCAUUUAGUAUUUUCCCUUAGUUAGGCUCAUGCCUAUUUAUAUAUAUUUAUUUGCAUUAUUUUCAUCUUCGUCGGUUUCAAUUCAGUUGUACGUAGCAAGCGUACUAUAACCAUUUGGUAGAAGACUCAUGUUAGUUGUACCCUAUAUGUAAGAGGUAUUUAUAUAAUUUUGUAAUAGAUAACAUUAUUGUAGUUAUCUCAAAUAUAACUUUUUGUAUAACUUAUGUCAUUUUAGAGUCACAUGAUAUGCACUUUGUGUAACUCAGAGAUUGUCAACGAUCUAGUAGUUAUUUUUAAUAAAUAUUUACUUAUUUUGUA